CGAUCUGCGAAAAGCAAAAGUAGAAAUCUAUUUCCCGGAACAAGAAGAAAACUUGUCAAGACAAACUAACAAUACAUUUGUAGAUAAAAUGUCAAGUAUUCUUGUUUUCAUUAAUUCUGUUCAUGGUAUUCAGCCAUAUAGAGGCACAGUGGCAGACCGGUCAAGGUUGUUGUUCGCCUCCUUUCAUCAAAUAAUGCCUAUGGUUCGUCUUGCAGACCACUUUUUAUGUGCAGCCGUAUUCUUGAGAGACAUUCCCAUCCACAUAUUUUUUCUGAUAGAGGAGCUCUGGUAAAAAAGCUUGCCAAAGCAGGCUUUUCUAGUUGAGGGCUUGCGUUUGAAUCCUAAGUCAAGAAGAAUUGUGUUUGUGGCAGCACUGAAAUCUUCUCCUAGAUAUUUCCUCCCUCAGAUGUCCACAAAAGAUAUUGGAUCACAGUGCUCUGAACAUGCAUAUACCAUGAAAAAUGCACUACACAAAAGCAAUUUUUUUUAAGUUUGGAUUAGACAUAAUUUUGUGAUUCUAAAUAGUAAUUUGAAUUUGUGCAUUUAUUAUAAUUAGAUUUAUUAAUUAAAGUGUUCUGAAUUUUUAUUCUUGGGUUUAUCUGUGUUUUGUCUUAUAAAUUAAUAUGUUCUUUUAAAGAAGAAGA